rnacentral:tRNA from 1 species
AGUUAAUUAGCUUUAAAGCAUUUGUUUUGAAAGCAAAAGAUAGGAAUUACAUCCUCCUAUUAACUU